rnacentral:rRNA from 1 species
UACGUAGGGACCAAGCGUUGUUCGGAUUUACUGGGCGUAAAGGGCGCGUAGGCGGCGCGGUAAGUCACUUGUGAAAUCUCUGAGCUUAACUCAGAACGGCCAAGUGAUACUGCAGUGCUAGAGUGUGGAAGGGCAAUCGGAAUUCUUGGUGUAGCGGUGAAAUGCGUAGAUAUCAAGAGGAACACCGUGAGGUGAAGACGGGUUGCCUGGGCCAACACGUGACGCUGAGAACGCGGAAAGCCAGGGAGGCGAACC